GAUGAAGAACGUAGCGAAAUGCGAUACGUAAUGUGAAUUGCAGAAUUCAGUGAAUCAUCGAGUCUUUGAACGCACAUUGCGCCCCCUGGUAUUCCGGGGGGCAUGCCUGUCCGAGCGUCAUUGCUGCCCUCAAGCCCGGCUUGUGUGUUGGGUCUCGUCCCCCUUCCCGGGGGGACGGGCCCGAAAGGCAGCGGCGGCACCGCGUCCGGUCCUCGAGCGUAUGGGGCUUUGUCACCCGCUCUGUAGGCCCGGCCGGCGCUUGCCGAUCAACCCAAAUUUUUAUCCAGGUUGACCUCGGAUCAGGUAGGGAUACCCGCUGAACUUAAGCAUAUCAAUAAGCGGAGGA
rnacentral:misc_RNA from 1 species